rnacentral:rRNA from 1 species
CCUACGGGAGACAGCAGUGAGGAAUAUUGGUCAAUGGACGAGAGUCUGAACCAGCCAAGUAGCGUGAAGGAUGACUGCCCUAUGGGUUGUAAACUUCUUUUAUAUGGGAAUAAAAUGUUCCACGUGUGGGAUUUUGUAUGUACCAUAUGAAUAAGGAUCGGCUAACUCCGUGCCAGCAGCCGCGGUAAUACGGAGGAUCCGAGCGUUAUCCGGAUUUAUUGGGUUUAAAGGGAGCGUAGGUGGAUUGUUAAGUCAGUUGUGAAAGUUUGCGGCUCAACCGUAAAAUUGCAGUUGAAACUGGCAGUCUUGAGUACAGUAGAGGUGGGCUGAAUUCGUGGUGUAGCGGUGAAAUGCUUAGAGAUCACGAAGAACUCCGAUUGCGAAGGCAGUUCACUGGACUGCAACUGACACUGAGGCUCGAAAGUGUGGGUAUCAAACAGGAUUAGAUACCCGGGUAGUC